rnacentral:rRNA from 1 species
AGUGAACGCUGGCGGUAGGCCUAACACAUGCAAGUCGAACGGCAGCACAGUAAGAGCUUGCUCUUACGGGUGGCGAGUGGCGGACGGGUGAGGAAUACAUCGGAAUCUACUUUUUCGUGGGGGAUAACGUAGGGAAACUUACGCUAAUACCGCAUACGACCUACGGGUGAAAGCAGGGGAUCUUCGGACCUUGCGCGAUUGAAUGAGCCGAUGUCGGAUUAGCUAGUUGGCGGGGUAAAGGCCCACCAAGGCGACGAUCCGUAGCUGGUCUGAGAGGAUGAUCAGCCACACUGGGACUGAAGCACGGUCCAAACUCCUACGGGAGGCAGCAGUGGGGAAUAUUGGACAAUGGGCGCAAGCCUGAUCCAGCCAUACCGCGUGGGUGAAGAAGGCCUUCGGGUUGUAAAGCCCUUUUGUUGGGAAAGAAAAGCAGCAGGUUAAUACCCCGCUGUUCUGACGGUACCCAAAGAAUAAGCACCGGCUAACUUCGUG